rnacentral:rRNA from 1 species
GAUGAACGCUAGCGGCGGGCCUAACACAUGCAAGUCGAACGAGAAAGUCCUUCGGGAUGAGUACAGUGGCGCACGGGUGAGGAACGCGUAGGUAAUCUACCCUCUGGCGGGGGACAACAUUCCGAAAGGAAUGCUAAUACCGCAUAUGACCACAUGCACCACGGUGCGAGUGGUAAAAGGCGCCUCAAAGCGUCACCAGAGGAUGAGCCUGCGUCCCAUCAGCUAGUUGGUGAGGUAACGGCUUACCAAGGCGAAGACGGGUAGCUGGUCUGAGAGGAUGAUCAGCCACACUGGCACUGGAACACGGGCCAGACUCCUACGGGAGGCAGCAGUGAGGAAUAUUGGGCAAUGGGCGCAAGCCUGACCCAGCCACGCCGCGUGUGUGAUGAAGGCCUUCGGGUCGUAAAGCACUGUGGGGAGAGACGAAAACGUGCAGGAGGAAAUGCCUGCGCCUUGACGGUACCUCCUUAGCAAGCACCGGCUAACUCUGUGCCAGCCGCCGCCGUAAAAC